UUCUGUAGUUCCUCCAGCAUAAAAACAAGACAAAGUUUCUGCAGAGCUGCUCUAACCCAAUAAUAAAAUUGGACAAUAAGCUGCAUAUCUGCCGGAAACCUGGGACUGGCAAUGGAGAUGAGAAGAGAAUCAGAAGGGCCCCGGUGUGCGUUCUCAGCAAACUAUCGCAAGAACAAAAAACCAAACAUCACAUGUUCUCACUCACAGGUGGGAAUUGAACGAUGAGAACACCUGGACUCGGGAAGAAAUUUUUUAAUUAAAAAAUUUGGUUGAACGUUUUUCUUGUUAAAUGAUGUUUAAAAAAUGAAAACAAAGUUCUUGGCUUAGUAAAAUAAAUAAAUAAAUAAAUAAAUAAGCACAGAUCAGAGAAAUAGAGGAAAAUGUAUGUAAUGAAAACAUCCUGAAUCUUGACUGUGGCAAUAGUCUCACUGGUGUAUACAUACGUAUGUCAAAAUUCAUCCAAUUUACAUUUUGAGAGGGUUCAAUUUAUUGUACAGUAAUUAUACCUCAAUAAAUUAUUUUUAAAAGUGCACAAAUCUUGAAU
rnacentral:lncRNA from 1 species